rnacentral:misc_RNA from 1 species
UUUCCGUAGGUGAACCUGCGGAAGGAUCAUUACAGGACGGGGGCUCUACGCUUCUGGCGGGCGGCACAGCAGUGCGAGCUGGCCAGAGUCGUGGGGUCCUUGUUUUCCACCCACCCUUGUCUAUCUUGCACCCUAUCGUCAUUUCCUCGGCGGGGACGCCCGCGAGUGGAAACCCAGUAAACCCUUUGCAUUAGCAUUCAAUAUCUCUGAUGGCAAACAAAUCGUUACAACUUUCAACAAUGGAUCUCUUGGUUCUG